rnacentral:rRNA from 1 species
GACGAACGCUGGCGGCGUGCUUAACACAUGCAAGUCGAACGGAAAGGCCCUGCUGUUGUGGGGUGCUCGAGUGGCGAACGGGUGAGUAACACGUGAGUAACCUGCCCUUGACUUUGGGAUAACUUCAGGAAACUGGGGCUAAUACCGGAUAGGAGCUCCUGCUGCAUGGUGGGGGUUGGAAAGUUUCGGCGGUUGGGGAUGGACUCGCGGCUUAUCAGCUUGUUGGUGGGGUAGUGGCUUACCAGGGCUUUGACGGGUAGCCGGCCUGAGAGGGUGACCGGCCACAUUGGGACUGAGAUACGGCCCAGACUCCUACGGGAGGCAGCAGUGGGGAAUAUUGCACAAUGGGCGGAAGCCUGAUGCAGCAACGCCGCGUGCGGGAUGACGGCCUUCGGGUUGUAAACCGCUUUCGCCUGUGACGAAGCGUGAGUGACGGUAAUGGGUAAAGAAGCACCGGCUAACUACGUG